GAGAAGUCACAACCCGCAACAUCUUGAUGUUUUCGCCGCUCGCCGUCGGCUUCCUACGUGCUCGUCGUCUCUGCAUUCCCCGAUCGAUUCCUUCGCUUUCUGUUCUUCCGCGUCCCUCCUCUUCUCCUUCUCGAUUGUAGGGCUUCGAUCGUUGGGAGCUCUGGAGGCGCGAAGAUGAAGAUCGAUUGCACAUUGGGCCCGUUCCUGAGGGAGGGGAAGACCUCGAGACCCUGGACGACUUGCGAACGUCUAUGGAGAACGCCGGCAUCCUCUUCGCUGUCAUGCUCGACAACAAGGUCUCUCCUUUUUCAGUUUUCCUCCCCCUCCUCCUCUUAUUCCCGCUGUGGCGUCCUUGCCGGUUCUCCUUUCCCUUUUAUUGGAAUUCUGUUUCCUCGUCGUGUAGUUGACAGUACUGGUUGCUCCUGGUGCCUUUUACUGUUGUUCAGAAAUCUGAAGUGCAUGAGAUGGGAUUGAGGCUCUGGGUAAAGUAUGAUGCCAAAUGGGAAGAAAGAACAGGGAUGUGAACCAUUAUUAUAUGGCUGCAGGAGAUUAGAGAAGAGAUCCAAGGUCCAGUCUUUUUCUCUCUCUGUGGAGCUGAAUCAGGUGAUGCUGAGAGGGUGUGGUUUAAAGUCCACUGCAAGAUGUGAUCAGUUGGAAACACAAUCUUCACGGAAGAGGAAAGAAGUAAAAUUGAUCAACCCCUUCAAGUCAGCAUGUAAUCAAAUCUUCAAUUUAGACAUGAUUUUUUAUUUUUUAGUAAAAUUUGAAAAAUAAUUAUUCAAUGUUCCAA